GACGAACGCUGGCGGCGUGCCUAAUACAUGCAAGUAGACCUGAGUUGCGAACGGGUGAGUAACGCGUAGGAACCUGCCUCAUAGCGUGGGAUAACUAUUGGAAACGAUAGCUAAUACCGCAUACUGUGAGAUGGAACUGCGUUGUAUUAGCUAGUUGGUGAGGUAAAGGCUCACCAAGGCGACGAUCCGUAACUGGUCUGAGAGGAUGAUCAGGCACACGGGAACUGAGACACGGUCCAGACGCCUACGGGAGGCAGCAGUGGGGAAUAUUGCACAAGUGGCGCAAGCCUGAUCCAGCCAUGCCGCGUGUGUGAAGAAGGUCUUCGGAUUGUAAAGCACUUUAAGUUGGGAGGCGUUACCAACAGAAUAAGCACCGGCUAACUUCGUGCCAGCAGCCGCGGUAAUAC
rnacentral:rRNA from 1 species